UGCCGGCCUGGUUCGGCAUCAUGACCCUUUGGACACUGCUGUUGCCCGCCGGCCUGUUCUUUUUCGGCGCCGGCAU
rnacentral:tRNA from 1 species